GACGAACGCUGGCGGCGUGCUUAACACAUGCAAGUCGAGCGGAAAGGCCCUUUCGGGGGUACUCGAGCGGCGAACGGGUGAGUAACACGUGAGUAAUCUGCCCCUGGCUUUGGGAUAGCCACCGGAAACGGUGAUUAAUACCGGAUACGACCACUUCUCGCAUGGGAUGGUGGUGAAAAGUUUUUCGGCCAGGGAUGUGCUCGCGGCCUAUCAGCUUGAUGGUGGGGUAAUGGCUCACCAUGGCUUCGACGGGUAGCCGGCCUGAGAGGGUGGCCGGUCACACUGGGACUGAGACACGGCCCAGACUCCUACGGGAGGCAGCAGUGGGGAAUAUUGGACAAUGGGCGGAAGCCUGAUCCAGCAACGCCGCGUGAGGGAUGACGGCCUUCGGGUUGUAAACCUCUUUCAGCAGGGACGAAGCGCAAGUGACGGUACCUGCAGAAGAAGCACCGGCCAACUACGUGCCAGCCGCCGCCGUAA
rnacentral:rRNA from 1 species